CUCCUCAGGCUCCCUCCCCGCCCCCGCUCAGCCCUGCAGCCCGCGGGCGGCCCUUGCAAACCGCGCUCUCAGGACUCCCGUUCCACCCCACCCCGCCCUCCACCCCGAUUUUAGGAACAAAAGGGUUUAUUCCCUUUUCCCGUUCCGCAGCCCGUCGUUUGCGUUUCGGUGGCAUUUCUACCUCUGGGCACGCGGACGCGGAUGGGGGAUGCGGGGGCUGCGCCCGUAGGGUGUGAGUUAGGAGAUUCCGGGGCGACGUGGGUGCGCCCUGGGUCACAUGAGACCGUUUCCGACGCGGUUCCAGCGCCUGGACGUGCUUGGGUAUACGAAAUAUUUGCCUUUGUCACGUAUUUUGAUCUUCGAGUUUCUCGUCUGCAAAAUGGGAACGAUGGUCCUUUUAUAGGGGUCUUACAGGGGUUAAAGGAGAUCACGCGAAGGCCCCACCUACAAGCAGGAUAUCCUUUCUCCCUGAACCAGGAUGCCAUCCAGCGUCUCGGAAAGGAAGGAGGCAAAGCUGCAGGAGACGUCCUGUUAGACUGUAAUGCAUCCCUUGCAGAAUCACACCUGAGGGAUCACUGAUCCUGUGUGGUACUUGCCUUCCUCCCUGGAGGAUGUCUUUGGGGGAGCUCUUCCUUUCCUCCAAAGGAAAUGGAAUGCAUUCACCAAGGCUAAUGGUCAACCCAGAAUCCAGACUCACCAGAAUUUUUACCUUCCUACAAAUUCCAGGGUCUUCUGCAGUGAAAGGCAUAGGUAGAGACAAAGGGGGGUCUUCUUACCUGGGCCCUCAUUUGGUAGUUGGAGAGAUUUGAGUUUCCAAGAGGUUAUGUGACUUACAAGGAGUCAUACAGUUGCUCUGAGAAGCUAUAAAGCAGCAUAUGACAAACCUAUGGCAAAAAUGUUUUCCUCGGGAUCCUUGGGUGGCUCAGCAGUUUGGCGCCUGCCUUUGGUGUGAUCCUGGAGUCCCAGGAUCGAGUCCCGCAUUGGGCUCCCUGCAUGGAGCCUGCUUCUCCCUCUGCCUGUGUCUCUGCCUCUC